rnacentral:rRNA from 1 species
AUUGAACGCUGGCGGCAGGCCUAACACAUGCAAGUCGAGCGAGCGGCGGACGGGUGAGUAAUGUCUGGGAAACUGCCUGAUGGAGGGGGAUACCUACUGGAAACGGUAGCUAAUACCGCAUACCAUCAGACCUGCCCAGUUGGGACUAGCUAGUAGGUGGGGUAACGGCCCACCAAGGCGACGAUCCCUAGCUGGUCUGAGAGGAUGACCAGCCACACUGGAACUGAGACACGGUCCAGACUCCUACGGGAGGCAGCAGUGGGGAAUAUUGCACAAUGGGCGAAAGCCUGAUGCAGCCAUGCCGCGUGUGGGAAGAAGGCCUUCGGAUUGUAAAGCACGUUCAGCGGGGAGGCGUUACCCGCAGAAGAAGCACCGGCUAACUCCGUGCCAGCAGCCGCGGUAAUUC